GACGAACGCUGGCGGCGUGCUUAAUACAUGCAAGUCGAACGGAAAGGCCCUGCUUUUGUUGGGUGCUCGAGUGGCGAACGGGUGAGUAACACGUGAGUAACCUGCCCCUGUCUUUCGGAUAACUUCAGGAAACUGGGGCUAAUACCGGAUAUGAGCUCCUGCUGCAUGGUGGGGGUUGGAAAGUGUCGGCGGUUGUGGAUGGACUCGCGGCUUAUCAGCUUGAUGGUGGGGUAGUGGCUUACCAAGGCUUUGACGGGUAGGCGGCCUGAGAGGGUGACCGGCGACAUUGGGCCUGAGAGACGGCCCAGACUCCUACGGGAGGCAGCAGUGGGGAAUAUUGCACAGUGGGCGGAAGUCUGAUGCAGCAACGCCGCGUGCGGGAUGACGGCCUUCGGGUUGUGAACCGCUGUCGCCUGUAACGAAGCGUGAGUGACGGUAAUGAGUAAAGAAGCACCGGCUAACUACGUG
rnacentral:rRNA from 1 species